rnacentral:lncRNA from 1 species
AUUUGGUAGUUUCAAGCAUUUAAAACUAUCUGAAUAUCCUGAGUUAAAAGAGUUCUGGUAUGGUCAACUUGAGCAUAACGCAUUUAAGAGUUUGAAGCAUCUAGUGGUUCAUAAAUGUGGUUUUUUAUCCGAUGUGCUCUUUCAACCUAACUUGCUAGAAGUACUGAUGAACCUGGAAGAAUUAGAUGUGGAGGAUUGUGAUUCAUUAGAAGCAGUUUUUGAUUUGAAUGAUGAAUUUGCCAAAGAAAUUGUUGUUCAGAAUUCAAGUCAAUUGAAGAAAUUAAAACUAUCUAAUCUUCCAAAUCUGAAGCAUGUAUGGAAGGAUGAUCCACAUUACACUAUUAGGUUUGAAAAUUUAAUUGAUAUAUCUGUUGAGGAAUGUGAAAGCUUGACAAGCCUCUUUCCGCUCUCAGUGGCUAGAGAUAUGAUGCAACUUCAAAGUCUUAAAGUAAGUCAGUGUGGUAUUCAAGAAAUUGUUGGCAAGGAAGAAGGAACAAAUGAGAUGGUUAAAUUUGUGUUUCAGCAUUUAACAUCCAUUACACUUCAAAAUUUGCAAGAACUUGAGGCAUUCUAUGUUGGGGUUCAUUCUCUUCACUGUAAAUCAUUGAAAACGAUCCACUUCUAUGGAUGUCCAAAAAUAGAGCUAUUUAAGGCAGAGCCUUUGAGAUACAAAGAGAAUUCCGUAAAUGAUGAGCUCAAUAUCUCAACAUCUCAACCUCUUUUUGUGCUUGAAGAGGUAAGAGUAGCAUUAAAUAUCAUUCUUGCUCUGAAUAUAUAUGCACAAAUUUGAAUAGGUUUCAACCCCACCUUCAGCGUAAUCCUCCCUCAUGUCCUUAUUAUAAGAAAUUAUUGUUUUUUUAGAUUCAUUGUAUAAUUAACGUAACUUCUUGUAAAUAUAGGCUAGAUAUAUCACUAACACAAUAAACCUAAAAAGUCAAUUAUUUUUUAUAAUAAGGAAGUACUAAUUACUAACAAUACUAAUAUUCACAGAUUAUUCUUUAUAAAUAACUAGAAAGAUUUAAAGUAACCGUAUAUCGCCAUUUUAAAAAAAAAAAUAUAAGAACAAUGGCAUCUCGUUCAAUAUUUUCAUGGUUAAAAUUGUCUUUAUAGUUUAUACUAGAGAAAUUUUCAAAUAUAUUAUUAUUAUUACUAUUAUUAAAGGAAAUGUUAUCCAAUGUCUCCGGGAUCUGGUUAAGAAUAUUAAAAAAGUGAAUUAUAUACUUCUUCCAUCCCUAUAUGUAUGCCCCCUUUGAUUUUUUCAUAUUUCUUAAAAAAGUUAUCAGUGUUUACAUUUAGAGACAAAAAUAAAGUCGAAUGAGUGUUUAGAUAUAGGGACGGAGGAAAUAAUAAUUAUUACAUUAAAAAUUGUGUAAUUAGACCAUAAAAAAAUUAUUAUUAUUGUUAUUAUUACUAUUAUUAUUAUUAUUAUUAUUUAUUUUUUGAAAACUCGGUAUCCGAUCCACCGAAAUUGGCACCAGAGGGAAUCGAACUUGAGACCUCUGGAGGAGCAAACUCCAAGAUCCCGAGCCAACCACUAAACCAACCCCAAAUGGGUUGUAUUAUUAUUAUUAUUAUUAUCAUGACUUUGUAAUUGUUUCACAGUGUUUAUUUAUUUUUAAUUAAUCCCUUACGUUGGAAAUUCCAACUUUAUUUCAUUCCACACCUAGCUGCAUAAUUGCGCCAUUUAUUAGUGAGUAUUUCAAAAUAUCUGGUAAUUAAAAUAUUUUAAAAUGGGAACUUCUACGGUAUAGUUGUAAAUUGAAGUGCACCGUACUUUUUCUUCCUAAAUCAAUAAAUUAAUGAAUAUUUUUAUGAAAUAAAGAGUUAUUUGUUGAUAUUUAUAUUUUAGAAACCAUUAUUUCAUAAGAAAAACAUCAUUUCAUUGUUUAAAAGAAUCAUAAUUAAUAUUCUCUAUUAAGAAUAAUAAAAAUUAAGACAUAAAAUUUAGUUAUUAUAAUAAUCAAUGAUAGAAAAUAGUUUUUCCCUUAAAAAAACAACCUAUUUAAUUAUUAUUUUAAAAAUUUGGUGUACCGGUGCACUUAAAUUUUUGGAUGUACCACAAAAUUUACCUUUCAAAAUAUCUAGUAAUAAAAAAUAGGUAAAAAAUUGAAAACUCUUAAAAAUUAUAAAAUAUGAUGUAUUUUUCUUUGCAAGCAUUUUCAAAAACACGUUAUAAUCAAUUGAGAGCAAAAUAUGUCGAACUAUAAAUAUCAAAAGUUAUUAAAAUAUUUUAUUUCAUAGAUGUGCUUGAUAAUUUCUAUAAGGAAAAUAACAACUACUAGCAUUGGUCAUCUCAAAAAAAGUAUUUGAUAAAUUUCAUAAAGGAUAAAUGUUAAUUUAAAAGAAAUUGAAAAAAGUAGAGGUAUUGGCAAAAAUUAAAAAUACAAAUUUUAGUCAAUAGUAAUUAUAGUUUGACUCAAUAAUAACAUGUUUAAUUCUUUUACAUUGUUGUUUAAAUAUGUUUUAGGUGAUUCCAAACUUGGAGAAGUUGACGAUGGAACAGGCGGAUGCUUACAUGAUAUUGCAAACUCAAAACUCAAGUUCCCUCUUUACCAAAAUGACGUUUGUUGCCUUGAGUGGCUAUGACAGUGAAGAGGCUACAUUUCCUUAUUGGUUUCUUGAAAAUGUGCAUACUCUCGAUUCACUAAUUGUUGAGAUGAGUUCCUUCAAGAAGAUAUUUCAAGAUAGAGGAGAAAUAAGUGAGAAGACUCAUGCACAAAUAAAAAAACUGAUAUUGAAUGAAUUACCUGAACUUCAACAAAUAUGUGAGGAAGGAUGCCAAAUUGACCCAGUUCUUGAGUUCCUUGAAUACUUAGAUGUUGAUAGUUGUUCUAGUCUGAUAAAUUUGAUGCCUUCCUCUGUCACCCUUAAUCAUCUGACGCAGUUGGAGAUAAUAAAAUGCAAUGGGCUAAAAUAUAUAUUCACAACUUCUACGGCACGAAGCUUGGACAAGCUCACAGUGUUGAAGAUAAAAGACUGUAAUUCACUUGAAGAAGUAAUUACUGGAGUAGAAAAUGUCGACAUUGCUUUUAAUAGUUUGGAAGUUUUCAAGUUGAAAUGUUUGCCAAACCUCGUCAAAUUUUGCUCUAGUAAGUGUUUCAUGAAGUUUCCAUUGAUGGAGGAAGUAAUUGUGAGGGAAUGUCCUCGCAUGAAGAUUUUUUCAGCCGGAAACACAAGUACACCACUUCUUCAAAAAGUUAAAAUUGCAAAAAAUGAUGAAGAAUGGCUAUGGCAAGGAAACUUAAACGAUACAAUAUACAACAUGUUUCAAGAUAAGGUAUGUUUAUUUACCACUUUACUUCUUGUGUAACAAUAUAAUGAUUUGUGUUUUUAUUUUCUUUGGAUGCAUAAUAGUUGAUUUUUAAUUUGCACGGUUAGGAACUUUGUGGAAAAACGACUAUAUGCAGAUUUUAAAAGUAUAUCGCAAUAUUCUCUUUAAAAAAGAAAAAGAGAUACAUAGUGUCAAAACAAAGACUUCAAGAGUUUGUAGUCUUUUAGGAGGCGGAGUCUUUUUGUAGAUGGACAUGAAGCGCUACUAGGACACCCAUGGACAUCAUCGCUUCUGUUACAUUUAAGCCGUUUUUAAGCCUCUCAAGCAUGGCCAUCUAUUAUGGAAUGAUAAAUAAAGAGAUAUUUGGUUCUUGAAAGGAACAUACAGAAUCAUCUUUAUCCCACUGAGGAAAGUUAGGAGCAAUUACCAGAGGAGGAUUUCCUCCAUUAUGGUCACCAUAAGAGCCUUAGCUACUCACUUUGAGCUAGAAUUAAUCCAACUCUGUUUUAGUAUUAUUGACUGAGUCAUGAAUGUUACAAAACGAGUGUUUAUUCCACCAUUUUAGCUUGGACUUGAGAAUUUACAAUUUUCUGUGAAGGAUGGAUUGAUUGCCUCCUAUAACUAACAUUUUUCAAGCACUCCGUUGUUUUUUUUUUUUUUUUUUGCAAUCUUUAUGAGAGUUUCAAAUAGAAAGGAAUUUGAAGUUUAGCUGCUCACAUGGAUUGUUUAGAAGACUAAGUAAGAUGGUAAUGGUCAAAUUUUGUGUGUGUGAGUGUGCAUCAAGAAGAGGAGUCCUGAGCCUUUAGUUAUUCCAGAAGAACGGAGGUCUUCUGCUUUAAAGGAGAUUUUCCAACCAAAGGUCUUCUAAAAAAAUAUGAUAUUUUAAUGGAAAAUAUGGUUUUGGGAUAACAUCCCUGUAAUGGGCAUUGGUUGGAUCAUUUCUGGACUGUUUUCUAAUCUUUUUUAUCAUUCUAUUCUCUAUAUUAGAAAUAACUAUUUGAAAUUUUCCAUGGUUAAGAAUCUCAUGUCGAUGAGUAUUUUUUACUUCAUCUUAUUAAUCAACACCCUAGGGAGUUAAGAUUGAGAGCCAUUUGAGCAUGCAAACUCAAAGGAACCGUUCCAUCUUCUGUUUCAUCUGAGCUAAUGUCAUCCUUUGGACAGGAUUCACAGUCUUGGUUUUCAUGAGUUUCUGAAAAAACAUCCUUACAUUUACUAUGGGAUAUAAGCUUAUGAACUAUAUUUUACUGCUACGUUUGUUGAACUAACUCACAAUACAAUUGUUUUUACAGGUGGGAUUUGGUAGUUUCAAGCAUUUAAAACUAUCUGAAUAUCCUGAGUUAAAAGAGUUCUGGUAUGGUCAACUUGAGCAUAACGCAUUUAAGAGUUUGAAGCAUCUAGUGGUUCAUAAAUGUGGUUUUUUAUCCGAUGUGCUCUUUCAACCUAACUUGCUAGAAGUACUGAUGAACCUGGAAGAAUUAGAUGUGGAGGAUUGUGAUUCAUUAGAAGCAGUUUUUGAUUUGAAUGAUGAAUUUGCCAAAGAAAUUGUUGUUCAGAAUUCAAGUCAAUUGAAGAAAUUAAAACUAUCUAAUCUUCCAAAUCUGAAGCAUGUAUGGA